CUGCAAACUGCUUGCACUGAUUAAAAGAGGAAUAGAGAGCUUAGAGCAAACGAGGCUUUACUUGUAAACAAAAGCACACCUGUGUUUAAACUGAGAAAGCCUUUGUGUUUCUUGAUCUCUGCAUUCCUUUUAUUGUGCUCCUCUUUUAACACCGCAAACUUCUUUCUUUUUAUUACGAUCAGGAUUCAAACGCCUUUGCAUCUUGUCAUCUGGCCUCUGGAGUUGAGGGUGACAUAAACGGUAUACGGCUGCUAAAUGUCACGCAGGCUGAGGUGUCAGCGGAGCACAACUGAGAGCUCUGGAAUUCAAAUCAGGACCCUUGUUGCUGUGAUGUGCUGGGAGAAUCAUAGAAUCAUAGGAUGGCCUGGGUUGAAAAGGACCACAAUCAUCAUCUAGUUUCAACCUCCCUGCUAUGUGCAGGGUCACCAACCACCAGACCAGGCUGCCCAGAGCCACAUGCAGCCUGGGUGAACCCCUGCUCCAUCCCAAACCUGCGCAGGCUGCCACAGGUUUUCCUCUGCGCAAAGGCUCCUGAAAACAGGCUUUGUAUGGUACCCGUAAUUGAAGAGGAGAAAUCUGAGAUUUCUGCAGGCAUUUAAGGACAUAUGUAUAGGAUUUAGCAGUGCUAUUGAGUACUUAUAUUCAGGAGAGUGGCUUGGGAGGUCCUUAAGAACCUGAUCUGAUGCUCACCAAGGAAAUCUGUUGCUGGAAGGAGUGUGAGUUCCAACCAGGGGAUCCAGCCUGGGACUGUCACUGCUUGCUGGAGGGACUGCCUGAAAUAAUUAACGGUUCAUACCAUUGUUACUUUGGGCAGUUCUGUCAUUCCUUUAUGAUGUGGCAACUUCUUAUUUUUUCCCCAGGAAAGAAAGAAAAGACUAAAUUGUAGAGGACUGAUCUUUUCCCCCCUCUCUGCGCUUUAAGUGGUGAAUUGUUGGCUUCCAUUGAUAUUGGCAGUCAUGUAGAAAGUGGUUGCAAAAGACAGAAAGAAAGUGUAACUUCAGGGCUUUUCACUCACAGAUGAAGUAGUUGGUUCGCUGGCCAAAACUGUCUUCACUCCUGAAAGGAAAAUGUAUUAGAAGAGAAAUUCAUCCCCUGCAUAUUGCCAGUGCUGCUCUGCUUGGAGAGAAAACUCCAUCAAUACAACUCCCAUAAAGGCAGAUCUCUGCCAAAUAUCAUUUGGAGAUGCC
ensembl:lncRNA